CUGGGUGUGGAAGACCUUUAUGUGGUCGAAUUAUAGCGUAUAAAUAAAAAUCCUCGUGUCUACCCUAGAUAGAUCAAGGAGACGAAGUUGUUCGAAGCUGAUGGAGGAGAUGGUGGUGCUUCGGUUAUCCACCAAAGUGAAACAAGAAAGUAGCCCAUACCCAGAUCGGGGGGAGGUGAGCGAGGAUUAUAUUCUCGUGAAAGUAAGGUUUUCGAGGGCAAUUGGGAGCCGCAGUAGCCUUGAUUACCCAGUUAUUUGGGAGGAGCGAACGCUCCUAGAUUCGAGACAAUUUUGGGUCAAGCUCCGAUCUGUCCAGAAUGUUUCAUCCCCCUACAGGACUAGGUGCGCACAAUCAAUCACAGAAUCUCUGUCACUCAUGCGUGUCCCCGAGGAGGAACAUCCCAAUGCCAUCAACAAGUUACUGGAGGUGCUUGACGCCACAGUCUCCACCGAGCUGCCUAUUGACGUGGCCAUAUGGGACAUGACUUUUCUAUUCGGCAGCGAUGCCGUAUCUGAAGCCAUGGACAUGUAUAAGCCCAAUCUUGUUCCCGCGACAAGGUCAUCGAUUGAAGCCCUGGAGAGAGUGAACGUCGAUCAUACGUUGCCUUAUGAAGAUCCAUGUGUUAUUUGUUUGGAGGAUUUCAGUGUUGAUCAAAUGGUUAUCCACUUGCCCUGUUCGCACUAUUAUCAUGAACAUUGCAUUGUCCGGUCAUUGGAGAUCAGUCACAUGUGUCCCCUCUGCCGCUACCCAAUGCCAACUCUGGUGGAGGAAGUGCCUCCUCAACCCUGUUGAGCCCCAGUUUAAUUAUCGACACAUGGCCAAUACUUUAUCUGUGUACAGGUGACAUAGCCUGUAAUGCUAGAAGCAAGUUCCCUGCCCAAGUUUUUAAUAAUGAAAACCACAGACUCAACUUGUAUGGAGAUAAUGUCGAGGUGAGAUUCCCUGAUUAUAGGUUCUGGUAUACGUGUCUACGUGGGUACUAUGUCGAUAUUGUGAGAGUGAGACUGAUCGAGAACUGAGAAUUUAGGUGAAUCUGAUUGUUUCUCCUUUUGAAUGUACUUCUGCUCUAUUUAUUUUCUAAAUUUCUUUUUCUUCUUCUGGUUAUAAACCAAAACUUGAUUCUUCGGAAGUAACAAAAAUAUGAAGUUCCCUAUUCGAUUAUGCUUCCCAAUUUCCUUGAUUAACUCCUCCUUUGCAACCUAUUCCCCAAUCAGAAAGCGGGGAGUUUCUGUACAUAUAUUAUAGUGAAUUACCAAUGCAGGAGAGAAUCCUGAUUGCUAGAUGAACCCUAUGCAACAAAAUUCAAGACACCUCAGCAACUUUUCGUUGCUAUUUAUUUUUCGUUUAGCAUUUCACUGUAUUCCCCCCUCUCCAAUUUAGCAUCUUUUGUGCUUAAUUUGAUUGUUCAACAUUUAUAUUUAGCGGCUAUUUGUCAGCUCUCUUGUAUUGCUGUGUAUACUUGCGAUUUGAACUUGUGUAAUCACUCAUUCUUGUUUUAUUAUCACUGUUGCUAAUGAU